rnacentral:rRNA from 1 species
AUACGGAGGGGGCUAGCGUUGUUCGGAAUUACUGGGCGUAAAGCGUACGCAGGCGGAUAUUUAAGUUAGGUGUGAAAUCCCAGGGCUCAACCCUGGAACUGCACUUAAAACUGGGUAUCUAGAGUUAUGGAGAGGUAAGUGGAAUUCCUAGUGUAGAGGUGAAAUUCGUAGAUAUUAGGAGGAACACCAGAGGCGAAGGCGGCUUACUGGACAUAUACUGACGCUGAGGUACGAAAGUGUGGGGAGCAAACGGGAUUAGAAACCCCUGUAGUCC